rnacentral:misc_RNA from 1 species
GAUGAAGAACGUAGCGAAAUGCGAUACGUAAUGUGAAUUGCAGAAUUCAGUGAAUCAUCGAAUCUUUGAACGCAUAUUGCGCUCUCUGGUAUUCCGGAGAGCAUGCUUGUUUGAGUAUCAGUAAACACCUCAACUUCCAUAUCUUUUUUGAAAUGGGAGUUGGACUUGAGUGAUCCCAACGCUUUUCCUCACCGAAAAGUGGCGGGUUACUUGAAAUGCAGGUGCAGCUGGACUUUUCUCUGAGCUAUAAGCAUAUCUAUUUAGUCUGCCUAAAAAACAGAUUAUUACCUUUGCUGCAGCUAACAUAAAGGAGAUUAGUUCUUGUGCUGACUGAUGCAGGAUUCACAAAGACGGCUUCGGCCGACUUUGUAAACUCGAUCUCAAAUCAAGUAAGACUACCCGCUGAACUUAAGCAUACCAAUAAGCGGAGGA